rnacentral:tRNA from 1 species
AUUAUUUUGUCAGAUUAGUGUAUUAAAGUUAGAAUUUAAUUAAACAUAUGUAUUAUAUAUGUAAAUAAUA